rnacentral:misc_RNA from 1 species
UUAAGUUCAGCGGGUAUCCCUACCUGAUCCGAGGUCAACCAUAGGAGUUGGGGUUCUGGCGCACGGCCGCACAGGCCUAGAGCGAGAGUGUUACUACGCUUAGGACCGUACGGCGCCGCCACUGACUUUGGGGCCGGCCGCAACGGGCAGGGCCCAACACCAAGCGAGGCUUGAGGGUUGAAAUGACGCUCGAACAGGCA